rnacentral:rRNA from 1 species
AUACGGAGGAUCCGAGCGUUAUCCGGAUUUAUUGGGUUUAAAGGGUGCGUAGGCGGACUGGUAAGUCAGCUGUGAAAGUUUGCGGCUUAACCGUAAAAUUGCAGUUGAUACUGUCAGUCUUGAGUGUGCAUGAGGUGGGCGGAAUUUGUGGUGUAGCGGUGAAAUGCUUAGAUAUCACGAGGAACUCCAAUUGCGAAGGCAGCUCACUGGGGCAUAACUGACGCUGAUGCACGAAGGUGUGGGUAUCAAACAGGAUUAGAUACCCUGGUAGUCCACACAGUAAACUAUGAAUACUCGCUGUUUGCGAUAUACAGUAAGCGGCCAAGCGAAAGCAUUAAGUAUUCCACCUGGGGAGUACGCCGGCAACGGUGAAACUCAAAUGAAUUGACGGGG